rnacentral:rRNA from 1 species
AGUCUAUUCAGAGGAACCUGUCCUGUAAUUGAUAAUCCACGAUGAACCUUGCUUAAAUUUGUUUUUCAGUCUAUAUACCGUCGUUAUCAGAAUAUUUUAUUAGAAUAAUAAUUUUCAAUAAUUUUAAUAGGAAUGCAUAUCAGAUCAAGGUGUAGCUUAUGUUUGAGUAGAGAUGGGUUACAAUAAAUGUAUUUAAACGGAUCUAAUUUUGAAAUAUUUUUAGUGAAGGUGGAUUUGAUAGUAAAAUUUUAAAGAUAGUAGAUUUGAUUUUAGCUCUAGAAUAUGCACACAUCGCCCGUCGCUCUUACUAUUAAGGUAAGAUAAGUCGUAACAUAGUAGAUGUACCGGAAGGUGUAUCUAGAAUGA